CCUGAUGAAAUGGUUUUCAAAAUGUAGCCACCGGCGUAUUGUCCAGUACAAAACGGCUUAUUACUCAUUUUAUCUCCCUGUUGCUUGUGCACUGCUUAUGGCGGGUGAAAAUUUGGAAAAGCAUGUUGAUGUGAAGAAUGUUCUUGUUGACAUGGGAAUCUACUUUCAAGUGCAGGAUGAUUAUCUGGAUUGUUUCGCUGAUCCGGAGACGCUUGGCAAGGUU